CUUUUUUGCAUUUAGAGGUCAGAAACGGUAUACCACUGAUCAAUUCUGUUAUAAAUAUAAAUAAAUAAAUUUUAAGUUGUAUUUGUUUUGUUUUGUAUUAAAAAUUGUAUUAUUGUAUUUUGAUUGUUAAAAUCUAGAAUUUCACCUGUGGUAUACGGCCUCGUAUUAAUAUCGACACAUGCCCGUUCCACUAUAUAACCACGUCUCGUAAAAUUAAACAAC
rnacentral:sRNA from 1 species